rnacentral:rRNA from 1 species
UACAGAGGGUGCGAGCGUUAAUCGGAAUUACUGGGCGUAAAGCGCGCGUAGGCGGCUUUUCAAGUCGAUUGUGAAAUCCCCGGGCUUAACCUGGGAACUGCAGUCGAGACUGUCUAGCUAGAGUAUGGGAGAGGGAAGUGGAAUUUCAGGUGUAGCGGUGAAAUGCGCAGAUAUCAGGAGGAACACCGGUGGCGAAGGCGGAUCUCUGGGCCGUAACUGACGCUGAGGAGCGAAAGCAUGGGGAGCGAACAGG